GGGUCUAUAGUUUAAAGAAGAGAACGAGGGUUUUGUAAACUUUAAGUGUUGAAGAAGCUAGGCUCU
rnacentral:tRNA from 1 species